rnacentral:rRNA from 1 species
UACGUAGGGUGCAAGCGUUAAUCGGAAUUACUGGGCGUAAAGCGUGCGCAGGCGGUUCGUUGUGUCGGUGGUGAAAUCCCCGGGCUUAACCUGGGAAUGGCCAUGGAAACUGGCGAACUGGAGUGUGGCAGAGGGGGGUGGAAUUCCGCGUGUAGCAGUGAAAUGCGUAGAUAUGCGGAGGAACACCGAUGGCGAAGGCAAUCCCCUGGGCCUGCACUGACGCUCAUGCACGAAAGCGUGGGGAGCAAACAGG